UGAUUUCAGCCCUCCAGAAAGCCUUUUGGACAAGAAAUUCAUAGCUAGAGGGACAAUGUAUCAGAGGAAUUUAAGUGUUUAUCUUAGACUUAAAUGCUAAAACCCUCCAAAAUAUGUAUUUAGAGCUAAAGCUUGGGCAAUUAGAAAUUUAUUAGUUUGAGGAAGAAAUUAAAGUGGCCCAGACAACAUCAGAAUUAAAGAAGAUAUCAAGAAACUAUAUAAUGCUCUCAGACCAAAUGCCAACCUCAAGCCAGGAGGACCCUGAUAAAGUCUAUUCUUUUGAAUAAGGAAAUGCAACCUUUCAGAGGCUUUUUCUCUGGGACCAAGCCAAGUAAAAUGAGAAUUAUUUAACCAGUAGCAUAAGGUAUGAAGAGAUCAAAUGAAUUAUUUUAUGUGAAAACAAUCAGCAAAAAGUAAGUGC